rnacentral:ribozyme from 2 species
AGAAUAACUCCUCCUGUAACUCUUCUAGAGUUACUGCCGGUUCGAAGCCCGGAUAAAGGAGGAGGGUUGG